rnacentral:rRNA from 1 species
AUGCAAAUCAGGGCGAAGAGAACCUGCUAUGCCGCUGCCUCAUCUGAGGCACGAGGAUGGGCCGAGCUCCCGGACGACUUGCUCCGACCCAUCGUUGCUCUCCUCAGCUCGUCGUUCCGCGACCUCCUCGCCUUUGGUUCCACCUGUCAUCCCUGGCGUGAUUUCUCAGCGCACACGUCCUCUUUGUACCCUCUCCUCCUCCACCCGAGUACCGACCGCCAACAGUAUCCCUGGUAUGACUAUGACUACUGGACCCUUUUCCACGAAUGCACGUGGAGAUUGGCUGAUCCUGCUGCCGCCUCAUCCUAUCCCAGUUUGCUUUCCUUGAGUGAUCUCAGGGGAAUGUUCUUUCUGCGCUGCUCCUACGGUCACCUCAUCUUCUUCGACAAUAAGGGGUUCUACAUUGUUAAUGCGUUCAGUGGCGCUAAGGUUGUGCCUCCUUGCCUCAAGUCAGACAACUUCAUUCACAUUAGCUAUGCCACCUUGACUGCCCCUGUUGCAUCCGCUGACUCGCAUCUCCUUGUCGGCAGCGGAGGCUAUCUGUUUCAGUGGCGCGUCGGGAGCGACUCUUGGUUGGAACACUAUCCUAAAGUUCCUUUUCUUACGAUUGAACAAAUUGUGGCCUUCAAAGGCAAAACAUACACCCUAGGGUCUUUUGGGUCCUUCUGCAUCGUACAAUUUUCGCCCUGUCUCUUAGUUCAGAAGUUUGAAAUUAUGUUUGAGGAAGAUAGAACUGAAGAUCGCUAUUGGACAAAUCAAAAAACAUGGCUUGUGGUGUGCGACGUGCUUCUCUUAAUCAAACUUGAGGCAGUAAAAAGGAUAAGCUCUGAGGCUUUCCAGUUCAAGGCCUUCAAGCUCAAGUCGUUGGACGCCAAGAACAAGAAAGCAAGGUGGGCGAAGGUGGACAGGUUGAAUAACUGGGCCAUCUUUGUCAGCGCCGACGGGCGAUGCGAGGCGUUGUCGUUCAUGAACCCGGAGAGAUGGGGAGGGAGGAGCAACCACAUAUACUUCCCAAGUUAUGAGUCUGAACGACCUUGGGCUGCAGUGCAACUAUGGCAAAAAGCUAACAACCAUUCGACAAGUUCGUGGCUCUCGAAAACUGGAAGCCAGUACCACAGAUUGGUGCCAACCUGGGUCCUCCCUAGCGCAUAUCCUCGCUCUGGUCAGCAAUGA